rnacentral:rRNA from 1 species
GGGGAAUAUUGGGCAAUGGGCGCAAGCCUGACCCAGCAACGCCGCGUGAAGGAAGAAGGCUUUCGGGUUGUAAACUUCUUUUGUCAGGGACGAAAAAAAUGACGGUACCUGACGAAUAAGCCACGGCUAACUACGUGCCAGCAGCCGCGGUAAUACGUAGGUGGCAAGCGUUAUCCGGAUUUACUGGGUGUAAAGGGCGUGUAGGCGGGAAAGCAAGUCAGAUGUGAAAACUAUGGGCUCAACCCAUAGCCUGCAUUUGAAACUGUUUUUCUUGAGUGUCGGAGAGGUAAUCGGAAUUCCGUGUGUAGCGGUGAAAUGCGUAGAUAUACGGAGGAACACCAGUGGCGAAGGCGGAUUACUGGACGAUAACUGACGCUGAGGCGCGAAAGCGUGGGGAGCAAAC